rnacentral:lncRNA from 1 species
GUCUUUUUGUUGUUGGGAUAUACAAGUAUCCGGCCACGUCCACUCUGGGUCUUUGUUAGAUGUAUUUCUAUUUUAUCCAUCUGAUGAGUUAAGCCUUUUUCAAUUGAUUUUUUUAGUUCGUUCUUAUGUUGUACUGUUACACCAGUGUCCUAGGUAAGGGGGGGGGGGUCACGUUAACAUGUUAACCCCACCACAUUCUGUAUGUAUGUGCCUGUUCAAAGGAGGAAUCCUGUAAUUAAGUGGUUGACGUUUGUUGAUGUGUUAAAUAUUUGUUUUUCGUUCAUUUUUUUGUACAUAAAUUAUGCUGUUAGUUUUCUCGUUUGAAUUGUUUUACAUUUGUCAUUUCGGGGCCUUUUAUAACUGACUAUGUGGUAUGUUCUUCGCUCUUUGUUGAAGGUCUUACGGAGACCCAUAGUUGUUGAUUUCUGCGUCAUUAAGUAAGCAAAGUGUCAUUCCGUGUUGCAAUAAAGCACUUAAUUGGUCGUUGUUUUUUAUAUUGUUGUUUUCUGACUGAUAGAACACUUCCGUUAAAGUGUAAGAUGAUCUGCCUUUCGAAGAAGUAUCUCCGGAAUAUGAU